rnacentral:rRNA from 1 species
AGUGAACGCUGGCGGUAGGCCUAACACAUGCAAGUCGAACGGCAGCACAGGAGAGCUUGCUCUCUGGGUGGCGAGUGGCGGACGGGUGAGGAAUACAUCGGAAUCUACUCUGUCGUGGGGGAUAACGUAGGGAAACUUACGCUAAUACCGCAUACGACCUACGGGUGAAAGCAGGGGACCUUCGGGCCUUGCGCGAUUGAAUGAGCCGAUGUCGGAUUAGCUAGUUGGCGGGGUAAAGGCCCACCAAGGCGACGAUCCGUAGCUGGUCUGAGAGGAGGAUCAGCCACACUGGAAAUGGGACACGGUCCAGACUCGUACGGGAGGAAGCAGUGGGGAAUAUUGGACAAUGGGCGCAAGCCUGAUCCAGCCAUACCGCGUGGGUGAAGAAGGCCUUCGGGUUGUAAAGCCAUUUUGUUGGGAAAGAAAUCCAGCUGGCUAAUACCCGGUUGGGAUGACGGUACCCAAAGAAUAAGCACCGGCUAACUUCGUGCCAGCAGCCGCCGUAA